AGAGUUUGAUCAUGGCUCAGGAUGAACGCUGGCGGCGUGCUUAACACAUGCAAGUCGAACGAAGCGCUUUGACGGAACUCUUCGGAGGGAAGAUAAAGUGACUGAGUGGCGGACGGGUGAGUAACGCGUGGGUAACCUGCCUUACACAGGGGGAUAACAGUUAGAAAUGACUGCUAAUACCGCAUAACCCGCUAGUACCGCAUGGUACGGACGGAAAAGAUUUAUCGGUGUAAGAUGGACCCGCGUCUGAUUAGCUGGUUGGCAGGGUAACGGCCUACCAAGGCGACGAUCAGUAGCCGGCUUGAGAGAGUGGACGGCCACAUUGGGACUGAGACACGGCCCAAACUCCUACGGGAGGCAGCAGUGGGGAAUAUUGCACAAUGGGGGAAACCCUGAUGCAGCGACGCCGCGUGAGUGAAGAAGUAUUUCGGUAUGUAAAGCUCUAUCAGCAGGGAAGAAAAUGACGGUACCUGACUAAGAAGCCCCGGCUAACUACGUGCCAGCAGCCGCGGUAAUACGUAGGGGGCAAGCGUUAUCCGGAUUUACUGGGUGUAAAGGGUGCGUAGGUGGCCUGGCAAGUCAGAUGUGAAAACCCGGGGCUUAACUCCGGGACUGCAUUUGAAACUGUCGGGCUGGAGUGCAGGAGAGGUAAGUGGAAUUCCUAGUGUAGCGGUGAAAUGCGUAGAUAUUAGGAGGAACACCAGUGGCGAAGGCGGCUUACUGGACUGUAACUGACACUGAGGCACGAAAGCGUGGGGAGCAAACAGGAUUAGAUACCCUGGUAGUCCACGCCGUAAAUG
rnacentral:rRNA from 1 species